rnacentral:rRNA from 1 species
AGUUGGUGGUGAAAUCCCAGAGCUUACUCUGGAACUGCCAUCAAAACUUUUCAGCUAGAGUAUGAUAGAGGAAAGCAGAAUUUCUAGUGUAGAGGUGAAAUUCGUAGAUAUUAGAAAGAAUACCAAUUGCGAAGGCAGCUUUCUGGAUCAUUACUGACACUGAGGAACGAAAGCAUGGGUAGCGAAGAGGAUUAGAUACCCUCGUAGUCCAUGCCGUAAACGAUGUGUGUUAGACGUUGGAAAUUUAUUUUCAGUGUCGCAGCGAAAGCGAUAAACACACCGCCUGGGGAGUACGACCGCAAGGUUAAAACUCAAAUGAAUUGACGGGGACCCGCACAAGUAGUGGAGCAUGUGGUUUAAUUCGAAGAUACGCGCAGAACCUUACCAACACUUGACAUGUUCGUCGCGACUUUAAGAGAUUAAAGUUUUCGGUUCGGCCGGACGAAACACAGGUGCUGCAUGGCUGUCGUCAGCUCGUGUCGUGAGAUGUUGGGUUAAGUCCCGCAACGAGCGCAACCCUCACUUUUAGUUGCCAUCAUUUAGUUGGGCACUCUGAAAGAACUGCCAGUGAUAAGCUGGAGGAAGGUGGGGAUGACGUCAAGUCCUCAUGGCCCUUACGUGUUGGGCUACACACGUGCUACAAUGGUAUCUACAACAGGAAGCAAAACCGCGAGGUUAAGCAAAUCCUUAAAAGAUACCUCAGUUCGGAUUGCACUCUGCAACUCGAGUGCAUGAAGCUGGAAUUACUAGUAAUCGUGGAUCAGCGUGCCACGGUGAAUGCGUUCCCGGGUCUUGUACACACCGCCCGUCACACCAUGGGAGUUGGUUCUACCUUAAGGCAAGGUUUCAUACCCUUGACCACGGUAUAGUCAG